rnacentral:lncRNA from 10 species
AUCCUAUCCUCAUCCAUGCAUCUGAUUUCUACACUCGGGGUGGGAUAGAGUUUGAGAUUGGAAAAUAAUGCAAGAGCUUUACACCAUGACUUAUGAGCGCUGGCUGAGGUAUCUGGGAAGAUGUAGCUGGAACAGAUGAAGUCUCACAGGGGAUCUACAGUGCUUGAGAAGUUCCAAGGAGAACUGAGUGAGUGUGGGCUGGAGCAUUGAGAGAACAGGAGGGAGCUGGGCUGAGCCUUAAACGACUCACAAAGGCGAAAGGAGA